CCUACGGGUGGCAGCAGUGAGGAAUAUUGGUCAAUGGACGAGAGUCUGAACCAGCCAAGUAGCGUGAAGGAUGACUGCCCUAUGGGUUGUAAACUUCUUUUAUAUGGGAAUAAAAUGUUCCACGUGUGGGAUUUUGUAUGUACCAUAUGAAUAAGGAUCGGCUAACUCCGUGCCAGCAGCCGCGGUAAUACGGAGGAUCCGAGCGUUAUCCGGAUUUAUUGGGUUGAAAGGGAGCGUAGGUGGAUUGUUAAGUCAGUUGUGAAAGUUUGCGGCUCAACCGUAAAAUUGCAGUUGAAACUGGCAGUCUGGAGUACGGUAGAGGUGAGCGGAAUUCGUGGUGUAGCGGUGAAAUGCUUAGAUAUCACGAAGAACUCCGAUUGCGAAGGCGAUUCACUGGACUGCAACUGACACUGAGGCUCGAAAGUGUGGAUAUCAAACAGGAUUAGAUACCCCUGUAGUC
rnacentral:rRNA from 1 species